rnacentral:rRNA from 1 species
UACGUAGGGGGCAAGCGUUGUCCGGAUUUAUUGGGCGUAAAGAGCGUGUAGGCGGCCGUACAGGUCAGCUGUGAAAACUCGAGGCUCAACCUCGAGACGUCGGUUGAAACCGUACGGCUAGAGUCCGGAAGAGGAGAGUGGAAUUCCCGGUGUAGCGGUGAAAUGCGCAGAUAUCGGGAAGAACACCCGUGGCGAAGGCGGCUCUCUGGGACGGUACUGACGCUGAGACGCGAAAAGCGUGGGGGAGC